rnacentral:lncRNA from 1 species
GCCGCAGCCCCGGUUCCCGCCCGCGCCUCUCCCUCCACACUUCGCCGCAAGCAGAGGGAGCCGGCUCCGGCCUCAGCUGGCCCAGAGAGGGGCUCCCUCAGUGCAGUGGCGAGCUGAAGGGCUCCUCAAGGGCGGCUGGAGUGGACGCUGAGGCCGAGGAGACGCCAAGAGCAAACGAGGGCUGCUAGUACAUUGUCACCUCUCACUGGUAACUACAGUUGCUGUCAGUUUAACUGUUGAUAUUCUGGAAGCAAGAUCUUGGAAGGCCAAGGACAGGUCAUUUCUUAGGACUGUGCAAAAGAGAAUCAGUCUUUACAGUAAGCUAUUUGAUUCUAGUAGUUCUUUCAUCUCAGUCUUUUGAAAGCAACUUCCCCUCUUUAACCAACACCUGCCAUGGCCUCUUCAUGAGCCGAAGAAGGAAAGACAGGACAGAUUCUUAUGACCUGAAACAGCACCUCAACUCUUACCUUGGAUAUUUCUACAUGAAGAAUCUGCUCUGAAACUAUAGCAAACAAUCACAGAGUGUUUGAGUGUGAGUCCAGACUGGUUCGGGAAGACCAAGAAGCAAUGAUGAUGUCUGUUUUUGUCAAAUGUCUGAAAACUAUUUUUAUUUUUCUAAAACUUUGUUCAGAAGUCUCAAUAUUGUAGUGUAUAGAGAUGUACACUAAUUUAGUGAUAUGAAGAUGAAGGGCUUUAAGCCUGUGUUCCUUGCAGGCAUCUCAGUACCUAGGAACUCCAAAGAACAAACUGUUGCUCGUGCAAAAUUAAAUUUCAUAAAACAGCAAAGAA